AGAAGCUCCAUCCUCCUUCUGAAGAUUUCGCAAUCUACCCAUCUGUGGUUUCAGAUCUCCAAAAUCUCAUCCGCUGCUGCCUCCUGGGACACCUGAGGAACUUCAAUCCCGGUCUCUCUACUUGUCUCCGAGACAGCUGCCCUCAAGUCUUUCCCUGCCUGUGGUCUCAUGCCAUCCCUCAUCAAGAGGUCAAGUCUCCUCCUUGGUUUCUCUUGAAUCUGUGCAGGCCCUGAUGACUUGUGUGACUACUAGGAAGUAGCAGAAGUGACAUUCUCUGACUUUCCAAUCGAGGUUAAAAAAAAAAAAUCUUGCUGCUUCCAUCUGGAUCUCUUGGAAGUGAGUGGUGAGGUGAUGAGUGUGAUUAUUCUGAGACUACUGUUCUAUGAGAGGCACUGGAGGAGAGAGAGGACAAGGAGGACCAAGGCACUAUGUGUGCAGAAGAAGCCUCAUCUCAGAAGUGGGUCCUCAAGUCUCAACCUCAACACUGACACCACAGGGCUCAGAGCCCAGCAGCCUGGAGGAGACCUUCUUAAAUUUCUGAUUCCACACAGCAUUCAG
rnacentral:lncRNA from 1 species